CUCUGACCCUUUACCUUGCUUCCUUGAGCUUCUGGCAAAAAUAUCUCAAAUGAGACAGAAAAUACCCCUUUCUGUCUCAUUUGAGAUAUUUUUGCCAGAAGCUCAAGGAAGCAAGGUAAAGGGUCAGAGU